UACGUAGGCAGCGAGCGUUGUUCGGAAUUACUGGGCGUAAAGAGUGUGUAGGCGGUGCUCUAAGUUCGGUGUGAAAUCUCCCGGCUUAACUGGGAGGGUGCGCCGGAAACUGGAGUGCUCGAACGUGGGAGAGGAAAGCGGAAUUCCCGGUGUAGCGGUGAAAUGCGUAGAUAUCAGGAGGAACACCGGUGGUGUAAACGGCUUUCUGGACCAUAACUGACGCUGAGGCACGAAAGCGUGGGUAGCAAACAGG
rnacentral:rRNA from 1 species